ACUGCCCCUCCAGCCUAAAACCCCGAAACCCUAAACCCUAUUUAUGGGUCGAAGGGGUGCCGCCGCUUGCAGUCGCAGACUCUUCCCAUACUCGUUUCUCCUUUUCCUCUUCCCUCACCCCAAAUCCCUUCCUCUCUCCUUCCCUUCGCUCUUUGCUAAACAGAUUGGUGGGAGUUGAAGGUUGUUUUUGCCCUCUCCUGUGUUUUUUGUGAUGGGUCUCGGCAUAACAAAAUUCGCGUUCAGUUCAAAAGCUAUUUCUCACCUCAUCGCAAUGGGAACUCGUGAUGGGUAUUGCAUAGACAUUAAUGACCACCUGUUUCUUGUGUUUCAUGUGGCUCUUCUCACUCUGAAGAUGCAAAUCUGAUUUUUUAUCAAAAUUUCUUUUCAAAUUUCCUUUUGUUGUAUUUCUUCACAUUAUGGGCAAGAAACCAUUGCAAUCAAGCGUUGGAUGGUUGUUAAUCUGUUUUCUCUAUUGAGGAAAUGACAUUUAGCUGUCUUAAAAAUGGGUGUAUUAUGUACAUGAAUUCGCCGUCUUACACAACUUCUGAAGAACAAGUCAAUUGUGUCUUAAAUUAAAAGUCCGAGUUGCAAUAUUUUGACAAAAAGAGUUGCUCAGAUUGUACUUGAGCAUCUUUUAUUACUGUCCUCCGAUCUGUUUCCCUUCGCUUGAUAGCAUCUGCGAGCCAGUCAUCACUCUCUCCCGUGGGACUUCCCGAUGACUCUAUGCUGCUUGAAGAAGUGGAACAUAAAAAGGUGGCUUCUUGCAUGAUUCGUAAGUCAAAUAUGUCCGGUUUGAUUGAAAUUAGCUCUCGUUUCAAAUAUGUAGUUUUGAAAGAGUGCAUUUAUGUUUCUGCUAAUGGCUUUUGUUUCGUCAUUGCUAUGAAUGAAAUACUUUUGGAUAAUUUCUACAA